AGGAGACGAUAAUCUAAAUGCGAGACGUUUGAUCUCGCUUUCAUCAAGCGUCAACUCAUCGUCCGCGAGUUUCGCUGCGCUCUGGUUGUCCAAGUAUUCGCGUUGUUAUCACGGUCCGGCUACUUGCGAGUCGUUAUCGUGUCCGCUACGAAAUUCAUUUAUCUCAUCGCAAGCAAGUUCCGGUGACAGUUUCCAGGCUGGCUCUGGUUCCAAGGCAUCCGUUGCCUCCGCGGAAACCAUUUUUGUCGAGAUGUUAAUCAGUCACGCGAUUCGAUCACACGGUGAUAGAGUUCAAAACGUACCCGAUGCCGGUCCUACUCGCGAUGAGCGUUGCGUCAAAAAGGUUCCGAAAAGAGGUGCACUUUUUCUGGAGAAAGGAGAAACGUAGACGGCGCAAUACAUGAUCGUGGAAGAUCUGAAAGAAGAGGGAUUUCUUCUUGCUCCGAAAAAUGGGUUCGUCGUGUCAAAGUUACAAACUCUUCGUGUCGCGGAAUAUUAACAUUGUGUUAUUUCUGUCGUACAAGAUAUCGGAUGAAAAUAAAUACUUGCGUGCACUGACAGCUUGUUCCAAUGUUCGCCGUUUCGAAGUGAAAUCUCAAUUAGAUUGGCAAGAUGUGCCGUUUUGUAUUCACAGAGAUAACCUACCAAUUUAUUUGCCAGCUUCGAAAUCACGAUUUCCGCGAGGUUGGCGUUGGCGAUCAUAAAAUUCUACAGAGGCGUGACCGUCGCUUUGACAUCGUGGAGACCGCCGCGAUUGUAAACAUUGCGUGCCGGUCGCGGAUGGAAAGGGUGAUCGAACAAUACGAUAGGAGCUACUGUCAAAUGGUGUAUUUUCGAUCGGUGAAUGACAGAUGACAGGAGGAAAGGAUCGUGGAGCGAGGAACGAGUUGUUUUGGAUGCACUUGUUAUUCAGCGGCUGUUGACGCAAUACAUUUUCGAAACACUCACCUACGAUAUCGUCGUCGUUUACCAAGAAGAUGAGCUGGGCUGACGGCGCAGACAGUGCUGGAACGAAUCGAAAUGUCUUUGGUGAAAAUUGCGAAUAAAUAUCGUUAUCACAAGAAACACAGAUCACAGCGACGGAAGCGGUCCCGGCGAACGAUAUCACAAACGCUGGUUGCCGAUUUUAGCAGCAGAAUGCUAGCAAAACUCGAUGCACUGAACACCCUAACGUACCCUUAAAGCGUGCUACAGAGAAAGCCUGGGUUCGUUCGGUUGGCGAUUGCAAUAACUUCUAAAUAGAGUCGAUGCACCGGUGCAACGCUGCGAAAGAGAAGUAAGAAACCACUUCAAUCGGCAACGACCACUAUAUGUUUUUAUCCGCUUUUUUGCAGUUCGUUCGGGUACACGGCUAAUCGCGCUCCCCCUUUCUCUCUAUUAUAUCUUAUUUCUUUUUUGCCGCACUGUUCCUGCGUACGUUUGUGUUCUUGAUCGUGGAACGCGAUCAAUUAUGCAGCGGAGGAAAGACUGGCUGACCGACUGGCUGACCAACUCGCAGCUGCGAUCGUAGCACGUGGUUGCCGCGGCGAGUUUCAGGUUCGAAAUAAAUAAGUUGCAGGCGAAAUCACCGAGUUAUAGAGCAGCGCGGCUGCCCCGAACGACUCGCUCGGCUCGGCUCAACUCGGGAGUUAUGCGCAUUUAUGGCUCUGGGAAAACCGAGGAUUCCGCAGGUGUUGACUUUUUUUGUAGAGGAAUUGCAGCUUUGGAAAAUAGAUGGGAAAGAAUUGUUGAAAACGGUGGAAAAUAUAUGAUUCAUUCGAAAAUUUUCCAUAUUUCCUUUCUUCCAACAAGAAAUAUAAUAAAACCUAAACGUAUGCUCAUUAGUUCUGCGAACUACCGGUUACGGAUCACUGGCUACGACCUCUGGCUGCGGAAGGUGACGGUUGUUCGAAACAGAACAGACACUUCCAAUGAUAUUACUGCAGAAACUACUGACUAUGAGCAAAAUUGGAACGCAUCCAGAUGCAGUCACCUUGAAGCGAUAAUGAUCGUUUAAUUAAUCGCGAUUUAUGUUCGAUAAUACUAAUGUAUAAUGUAAUAACAGUUCUCUGUUUAAUUAUAGGACGUAAAAUUUAAAAAAACGGUAA